UUUUUACUAUAAAAGUAUUUUUUUAUUGUACAAAAAGAUUUAAACGCCAAAAAAUAAAAUAUUUAUUAAAAAUCAAAAUUCAAUGUGAGAUUUUUCAUUGAAAUUAUUAAAAAUUGGACUAAUAAUAGCGAUUAAAUUGAUUGAACAAUCCAUUUUGAUGUCCAAGAACUUGCUGGAGAAUAAUGUAGAAACUAUUAAUUACAACUAAGUCUAACUUCGACAAUAUCAUGGGAUUAAGUUGUUGGCAAAACUCUUUUUUUCUAAUUUAGAGAAAAAUACCGCAAUCGGAGUAAUGAUAUCAAUAAAUUUAUUUAAAAAAUUUUAUUACUUAAUUCAUAUUAUAAUAUAGUUUAUAUAAAAUUAUUGUAUUUAUCUUAUUAAAUAACCUUAAAUUUGUUCACAUAUUAUAUGUAAAUAAAU